rnacentral:tRNA from 1 species
GGGAAUGUGGCUUAGUGGUAGAGUUCUUGCCUAGCAAGCAUGAAGCCGUGGGUUCGAUUCCUCAGUACCA